GGGAAGGGGAACAAGUAUGCCAAGUGUUCCUGUCAGACAACCAGAUCAAGCUGAGACUUCAAUCCAAGAUAGACCUUUUAGAAGAACAAAGCUUGGGGCGAGAAGAGGGGGGCAAGUGUCUGAACUAACAAGGCAGCU